rnacentral:lncRNA from 1 species
GCCACAUAAACAGGUACAUCACCUUCAAACAGCCACACAGCAUCAUCCGACGGAGGGCCAGCAUGUCUGUGGAUGCCACUAAGUUAUUAUUUGAGGGUUUUCUGCAGAAAAGAAAAGACUCUUUGAAAGUCUGGUGGGUCACGUAUUGGUUCAGACUCCAAAACACAACCUUGUUCUUCUACACUGAGAAGAAUGGUGGAGCUUCACACUUGAGAGGUUAUUACUACAUUUACACAGUGCAAUCCGUGCGAGAAGUCGACAGAGCUGACAAGAAGCGCUUCAUAUUCGAAAUAAUCAUGACAAAUGGAAAGAGGAAAGUGCUGGCCGCGGAAACAGCAGCUCUUAGAAAAAAGUGGGUGGGACAUCUCUGGCAAGCCAUGCAUCUGUCAGCUUCCUGGGUCUCGGACUCCAGAGACGCAUACUUUGAGGUGGACCAGCAGCAGGACAGACUGAACAUCGACACACCCGUCUCCUCCGACCAGCAGCAGGACAGAUUGAACAUCGACACACCCGUCUCCUCCGACCAGCAGCAGGACAGACUGAACAUCGACACGCCCGUCUCCUCCGACCAGCAGCAGGACAGACUGAACAUCGACACGCCCGUCUCCUCCGACCAGCAGCAGGACAGACUGAACAUCGACACGCCCGUCUCCUCCGACCAGCAGCAGGACAGACUGAGCAGCGGCACGCCCGUCUCCUGCGACACUGACAGUGUUGGGGAUUUGCUGCCUGCUCGACCGAUUUCAGCUCCGGCUUCUUCAAAUCACAUAAACCCCGAGGUCUGGAGCACGACCUCUCCCGUCUGCCAGCCCGAAGAGGCGGAUUGCAUAUUUGGAAUUUACCAGCCCACAGCCUGUACCCACCAGAAUCCCAGUGAUGACGAUCUCAACGAUACUCGGUGGUCCGGUGGGCUUGAAAACACAGCGGACACACAAGGAGACUACGACGUCCUACCGCUCAGAAACAAGAUAUGUGUUCUCGAAACUUCGGCGGAAGCUGAGGAGCCCAUUUAUGACAGUCCUCUGUCAUACAGAAACUUUCCUGCAUAUCAAGAAGAAUCCAUGGAGAACAUCUACGACAUGCCAAGCUCUCUCCUGAGGAAGCUGUCCGUCCACAACACAGACGAGAAACUGAAGGAAGAGGAGCUCUUCUUCACGCUGUGA